rnacentral:rRNA from 1 species
GACGAACGCUGGCGGCGUGCUUAACACAUGCAAGUCGAACGGUAAGGCCCUUCGGGGUACACGAGUGGCGAACGGGUGAGUAACACGUGGGUGAUCUGCCCUGCACUUCGGGAUAAGCCUGGGAAACUGGGUCUAAUACCGGAUAGGACUCCGGACUGCAUGGUCUGGGGUGGAAAGCUUUUGCGGUGUGGGAUGGGCCCGGGGCCUAUCAGCUUGUUGGUGGGGUGAUGGCCUACCCAGGCGACGACGGGUAGCCGGCCUGAGAGGGUGACCGGCCUCACUGGGACUGGGAUACGGCCCAGACGCCUACGGGAGGCAGCAGUGGGGAAUAUUGCACAAUGGGCGCAAGCCUGAUGCAGCGACGCCGCGUGAGGGAUGACGGCCUUCGGGUUGUAAACCUCUUUCAGCAUCGACGAAGCGAAAGUGACGGUAGGUGCAGAAGAAGGACCGGCCAACUACGUGCCAGCCGCCGCGGUAA